rnacentral:rRNA from 1 species
UACGUAGGGCGCAAGCGUUGUCCGGAAUUAUUGGGCGUAAAGAGCUCGUAGGCGGUCUGUCACGUCUGCUGUGAAAACCCGGGGCUUAACCCCGGGCUUGCAGUGGAUACGGGCAGACUAGAGGCAGGUAGGGGAGAAUGGAAUUCCCGGUGUAGCGGUGAAAUGCGCAGAUAUCGAGAGGAACACCGGUGGCGAAGGCGGCCAACUGGACGAAUACUGACGCUGAGACACGAAAGCGUGGGGAGCAAACAGG